rnacentral:lncRNA from 1 species
UUUACCUGCUAGGCUCGUCCCACCUGUGUGGAGCUCCCAUCGCCCUCCAGCGUUGCGCAGCCUGAAGGGACAGGACGGACACGCGGGUGCCUCCUUCUAAUUCAUCUUCACCAUUGUGGUUGUCAAUAUGGCAUGCAGAAUUAUCCCUCUUUCCAGGUUUUCCCCAAGGACCCUGGACAAUGCUGGUUUUUCCUAUGUGCACCACCAAAGGGCCUAUCCAGCUUCUGGAGUCUACCUGGAUUCCUGGGCUCAUGGCCCCUUCCUCCAUCUUCAAACCAGCAAUGGAAAUGGAAAUGAAAGCAAAAUGGAAGGACGUGAGGUCCUUAUCCUUGGAGAUCCUAUGGAGUCUCCACAGACAUUCCUUGAAGAAAUCAGAUGGAGCUGAGCCUGACACUCUAACCGGUUCUCUGGGUGUAUUGCAAAGGUCUAAUAAAAGGCACCUUUGCCCGGUUGCUUCAAUUCUAGGAAGCUGUUCAAUGUUUGACUAUAUUUCUCCAUACUCAUUUGAAAACAGUUCAUCAGGUUAGUUCAGUUGAAUUAUUGCUCCUUGGGAGUUUUCCAAACCCUGGAUUUCCUUCGGAGAGAGCUAGAUUCUAUUCCAUUCUUGGAAUUCAGCUCCUUGCCCCUCUCUGUGACCCCGGAUCGCAAAUGCAGUAAAAAUAAAAAUAUCCUGCUGCCUCCUGCA